GCGAUCAUACCAGCACUAAUGCACCGGAUCCCAUCAGAACUCCGCAGUUUAAACGUGCUUGGGCGAGAGUAGUACUAGGAUGGUGUGACCUCCUGGGAAGUCCUCGUGUUGCACCCC
rnacentral:rRNA from 1 species